rnacentral:lncRNA from 1 species
AUGGGACUGUGUUACUUAUUUUCUGGCGUGACUUGGGGAGGACCCCUGAGAGUACGGACACGCGGGUGGCCCCAGGGCUUCCGGUCCCCCCAUUGCUGCUGCCGUAGGCGACCUCGUGAGCCCCGCGUGCCUGGUCACUGGCGGGCUGGUUGCCAGCUCUGCGUGGUGAACUCUGCUGCCCCUCGUUGGUUUCCCGUCAUUUUGCUUCCUUUUCAGGCUCCAGUCAGAACAAUGCUGGGAAAGAGGGAAGCUUUUAUCUUUUCAAUUUUCUCUCCAGCUUCCCUCCUGCCCCCUGUGCCUGGUUCUUCCAGGUGGCAACUCUGUCACCCGCACAACAAAAGCAGAUCGUUUCCAGUUUCACAGUCUCGCUGGUAUGGCAAUUCUUCUUCACGGCUGAUUUCAGCCCCCGCUUUCCUAAGGUCUGGUGUUUUAAACACAUUUUCUUGGAGCCUCAACAUGUUCUAUGCAUUUUUCACAGCAUGGACGUUCUCGUAAGGUUAAACAGUUUGCCGUUCAUGACUUACCGUGGCAAGUCUGUGUUUGUCGUUUGGCUUUGUGUGUUAUUUUUAUUCCGGUAUAACUGACGUAUAAAGUUACAACGGCUGCAGGUGUGCCAGGUGGUGACUUUUUUUUUAUCUAUACUGUGAGAUGAUCCCUCCAUGAGUCUAGGUAGGUCUGUCAGCAUCGUUGGUUACAGCGUUGUGCUUCUUCCUUGUGAGGGUACCUGUUAAGACUGACUCUCAGCAGCCUUCAAAGGUGCACCGCCGAAUGACCAACUCUCAUUGCUCUUUGGCAGCCGCCUCCUCACGCUGCGUUUAUUUGAUAACUGGAGGUUUGUACCUUUGGACACCCUUUAGCCCUCCCCUCCACCCCCACUGCCUCUGGCAUCAGCCGUCUGUUCUCUGUAUCUGUGAGGCUGGUUUUUGUUCGUGGUACAAGGUGAGACCCUGCAGCCUUUGUGUUUCUCGGGCUGCUUCUUCACUGAGCGCAAAACCCUGGAGGUCCAUCCGCGCUGCUGCUGCUGAAAACAGCCUGGUUUCCUCCUUUGUGGCGGAACCAACAGUGUCCGUGGUGAGUGUAUUUCACAGUAUACGUCUCAUGUCCUACAUAGGUGGACCCUAGGUUGCUUCCACGUCUUGGCUGCUGUGAAUAACGCCGCAGUGAACAUCGGGGCGCAAAUCAUCUUUUCACGUUGGCGCUGCGUUUCCGUCAACUGCGCAGAAACGGAGCCGGAGCAUGUUUUCUGAGUGUGCUGACCACUCGCUCCCGCACCCAGAUCUGUCAGCGUCCUUCUGGUCUAAGCCCUGGGCUUGGAGCAGUUUUAGGCCCCGUGGAACUUGGGGUUCGGGUUUCUGAAAGGAUGAAGAGCCAUGGCCUGAAAUCUUGGGGUGUCUCAGAGUUUUCCGAGACCUGUGCAGGUGACAGCUGCUGUCCUUUCUGCUCUAAGCUGGCCUUGGGAGCCGCAACCAGGAGGGCCACACCUGGAGCUGAGCCAGCGGGACAAGCCGCCAGGACACCGGGUGGGGUGUGAUGCGGCCCGGCAGUGUGGUUGAAUGACAGCGGUCAGGGCGAAUGCUCACCAAGGGCCGUUUCACAUCUGCCUCCGCAGUCCCGACGUUCCCUCUUCUGACGGGUGGAGGACGGGGUGACGGCAGGUGACCGGGCCGGGAGGGGACAGCCAGGACCAGCAGGAUGACGGACGUCUGCUCCAUCCUCGGCCGCGCUGCCUGUGGGAGGCGGGGGCUGCGGCCAGUCCCCCCCCCUCCCUCCAGGUUUUCGCCGAUGGCGCCAGCAGACGUCGCCCCUUCCUUCCUCGGCGGGCACAUUGGUACGUUUACGGCAUCCUCGGGGGGGAUGGUAGGCUUUCUUCCUCCCAUUCUCCCUUCCCCGCGCCUGUGCCGCGUCUGACGCUCACCGGGGUUCCUCGGGUCCAGGAGCCCAUCCCCCUCGGCAGACGUGCCGCAGCAUCUUCUCACACCACGCGAACGGCCGCAGGGAGGUCCCUCGGGGCUGUCUGUCACCACCUGCUCUUGGGUGGGGCUCAGGGCCUCAAGUCUCGUUCAGUUCCGUGCCUGGGAACAGGGGUCUCCUGUGUGAAGGGGAAGAUGUCAGUGCAGCCGCAGAGGAGCCGAGCACCCCCCCCUCCCAGGGGAGGAGAGCCUAGGACCCCUGCUUCCUGGGGUCUGUUUCCGCUUUGCUUUAUCCCCUUGUUUUGCCGAAGCGCAUCUCCCAGAAGGGUCUGGAGCACGGGACCGUGGGGGAACAUUUUGUGUCCGGCACAAAAACGUCUUCCUGUCACCUCGCCCUGGCCUUUCUCGCCGUCGUGCACUGUCCUGUACGCUCCUAUUUGCCUGCUCCUGUGCGUUGAUGCCUUUCUCGUCACUGCCGUUCGUUUAACUGGCCUUUAAGAUGAGCACCGGCCCGAGCGCACGAUUGGGCCCAGGUUACCCGGUCUCAGCGAGCGCGGGUGCGCGGAGGGGCUGCAGGCCUUGCACGCAGAGCCCACCUCUCAGGCAGGCUGGCUGGUGUGGCCCCACUCAGCCCCUUGUGGGGUGAGGUGACGACCCCAAGGCCACACAGUCGAUGCCUAAAGAACAGAGCCGGGAAACUAAGUCUGAAUCGGACCAUCCCACCCACCCAGCAGCCGAUAACGCAGCCCGAGAGACCAGGGCCGCACUGCAAACACGGAUCGGCAUCGGGAGAGGCCCCGGCUUUGAGGACGGGCAGGACGGCUGAGACGAGUGGGGCGUGCGGUCAGAACCCAGAGGUAGCGUGAGUCACGGCAGCGGGCGACGGUGCCUCAACGCGGAGAAGCAGCCGGUGGAGGGGGGCAUGUCCGUGGGAGACGAGGUGACAAGAAGGGCUGUGGGGAGGUCAAGGUGAGGUCAGGGUCAGGGCAGCCCCACCCCUGCUCGCUCACUGACCUCAGCAGGUUACUUCUCCUGGGAAGCGCCAUUCAAAGUGCUAUUUAGAGGGCUAAAUCAUUGAUUAUAUGCAAAACAUACAUUUUGUGAACUUCAAAGCACUUAAUAAACACAAGGUAUAAGUCUUUUAAGUCUAGGAA